GACGAACGCUGGCGGCGUGCCUAAUACAUGCAAGUUGAGCGCUGAAGGUUGGUACUUGUACCGACUGGAUGAGCAGCGCACGGGUGAGUAACGCGUGGGGAAUCUGCCUUUGAGCGGGGGACAACAUUUGGAAACGAAUGCUAAUACCGCAUAAAAACUUUAAACACAAGUUUUAAGUUUGAAAGAUGCAAUUGCAUCACUCAAAGAUGAUCCCGCGUUGUAUUAGCUAGUUGGUGAGGUAAAGGCUCACCAAGGCGAUGAUACAUAGCCGAACUGAGAGGGUGGUCGGCCACACUGGGACGGAGACCCGGCCCAAACUGCUACGGGAGGGAGCAGUAGGGAAUCUUCGGCCAUGGACGAAAGUCUGAGCGGGCAACGCCGCGUGAGUGAAGAAGGAUUUCGGAUCGUAAAACUCUGUUGGUAGAGAAGAACGUUGGUGAGAGUGGAAAGCUCAUCAAGUGACGGUAACUACCCAGAAAGGGACGGCUAACUACGUG
rnacentral:rRNA from 1 species